rnacentral:ncRNA from 1 species
CCUUAUCCAGAGCGGCGGAGGGAAUGGGCCCGAUGAAACCCGGCAACCGGUUUAUAACAAACAAGGUGCUAAAUCCCACAGCAUGGCGAUGCUGAAAGAUGAGG